AAAAAAAUGUUCUCUCAUUCAGUAUAGAGAGAGCUCCCUGAAGCAAAACACUUAACAUACUUUUAAACAAGAACAAGGAAGAUACAAACAGUUUGGAUCACAAGCUAACCAUAAUUUCUAAUUUCCCCUGUCCUUGUACGCAAACACAAGCCACAACAAUUCUAGUAAAUGAUGAUACAAUGACUAGACGUGCAUAGGUCAGAACAUAGCAGCUUUGGUGUACAGUAUACCUUGAGGGCAUUUCAUCAAACACGUUGAGCCCGUCAUCUGUGUCGACCUCGUCAGAGCCCUGGA
rnacentral:lncRNA from 1 species